rnacentral:rRNA from 1 species
UACGUAGGUGGCGAGCGUUGUCCGGAUUUACUGGGCGUAAAGGGAGCGUAGGCGGACUUUUAAGUGAGAUGUGAAAUACCCGAGCUCAACUUGGGUGCUGCAUUUCAAACUGGAAGUCUAGAGUGCAGGAGAGGAGAAUGGAAUUCCUAGUGUAGCGGUGAAAUGCGUAGAGAUUAGGAAGAACACCAGUGGCGAAGGCGAUUCUCUGGACUGUAACUGACGCUGAGGCUCGAAAGCGUGGGGAGCAAACAGGAUUAGAUACCCGGGUA